rnacentral:lncRNA from 1 species
UUUCACUUUGGUAUUUGCUGGACAGACUGCUGCCACGCAGGCUGUCUAGGUCACUCUGUAUAUUCCAGGUAUUCCUGAUCUCUCCAAGACAUUUCUAAUGAAGGGAUGUACAGAACCUGGAAGCAACCUAGAUGCCCCUCAACUGAAGAAUGGAUGGAGAAAAUGUGUUGCAUUUACACAAUGGAGUACUACUCAGCAGGAAAAAAAAAACAAUGGAAUCUUGAAAUUUGUAGGAAAAUGGAUGGAACUAGAAGAAACCAUCCUGAGUGAGGUAACUCAAUCAUAAAAUGACAAAAUGAGAGAGAGGAGUGAUGAGAAAAGGUGCCACAACCAGGCUGGAGAAAUCCACAGAAACUGCUGACCUGAACACGUUGUUACUCGUGGAACCCAGACUGAUACCUGGAAAACCAGCAUAGGACUGUUCCAGACCCCCUGAAGGAGGAUGUCAGUUUGGAGGUCUGGGCAAUCUAUGGGGCCUCUCUUAGUGGAUUAGUAUUUAUCCCUAGUACAGCAAUGGACUUUUGGAGCUCACUCCACAUAGAGGGAUACUCUCUCAGCCUAGACACACUGGGGAGAGUCUAGGGCCUGCUCCAAAUGAUAUGACAGACUCUGAAGAUUCCCCCAUGGAAGGCUUCACCCUCCCUGGGGAACAGAAAGCGCUUGGGAUAAGGGGUCAGGGUAAGGGAGGAGGGGGUGAGAGGGAACUGGCAUUGACAUGUAAAAGAAGCUUGUUUCUAAUUUAAAAUUGGUCUAGUUACAAUUCUAAAAAUAAAAAUUUAAAAAAAUUAUAAACCAUUUAGAAAAGAAAAAAAUCAUGACAAGACCUUAUUCUUCAUGCUGGCAGCAUCCUACGCCAAGAACUCAUCUCAUUUCUGUGACAUUAAUCAACUCUGAAUUGACUAAUAUAUGUGGCUUCAGAUUCUUCAGAAAGAUAAUGAUAUUUAUCUACUAGGUAGUCCUAAUGGUUUUGUGCUCUGAUUUAAUUUUCCUCAUGGACUUGUUAUGGAUUUUGAAGAGUACCAGUGGCAGAAUUGAGGAGUAGAGUCAGAAACGCUGGGGAGUUCAAUCGAUCAUCACUCAUUUUUGUUUUCUCAUUCCUGGCCACAGUCUUAGUUGUUGAUAUUGGACAGCUUUUCAGUCCACAGUGACACUCUGUGGUGGUUAAGCAGACAACAGCAAAAGUUCAGGGAGCAAAAUCUCAUCUGUUCGUCUGGCAUUAGAAUUCUGGGCACCUGAUUUGAAUAAAUCAAUAUGCAAUUGUCUUUUCUAGGAAAUCAUUCUUAGUUUAUAAUGAGUAUAACACUUUGAAUGCUGUCUCACCAUCACAGUUGCUUCCACUGGGCAUUUGAUCACAGAAGAAAAUUGGCCUGGUUAUUGGGAAUGCCUGAAAGACAAACAGGUUUAUCAAAAUUUCCACCCUUUGUAAAUUCAGAAAAGAAACUGUACAUAGACACACAUUUCUGCUUUCAAUUUUAUCAUCCACCAUGGGAGCAGUAAUGUGAAAAGUGAAUGAUAAGACUGAGAAUAUAAAUGCAAUCUGAUGUAAUUUUAUUCAUAUACAUUUAAAUGUUAAUACUAGUAAUUGACUAAUUUAUUGAGAACUUUUACAUGUGCCCAUAUCAGGUAAUUAUGAAAAUCUGCUUUAACUAUUCAUGUAGGAUAUCCUUUUACAAGUCUGACUGGGAUAAAAGUAUAUAUCUUCCUAUUUGCCUCCUCAGUGCUCAGACUACAGAUGUGAGCCUCUAGGUCUAGCAUGAGUCUACUUUUCAACUGCAAAUUGUAUUAUAUUUAAAUAAGCAUUACUGAAACAGUAAAAUUUGUCAUACAAACUUUAGUUGGUUAUAAAACUAUAUUACACUCAAUUUCAAUACUUGAUUAAAAAUGUAAAGAAUCUCAAUCAUGAUUUUAACAUUCAUUUUAUGCUGACAUGAUAGUUUGUAAAUAAUGAAUUCAAAUGCAUUUCUAUUAAAUAUAUAGUAUAAAUAUAUACAUAUCUAUACAAACCUUAGUGAGAAGGUAUGUAUACAUCUGUGUUCAUGUGCCUGUGGGGUUCAGAAGUUAUUAUCAAGUGUCUUCUAAGAUCAUUCUCCAUCUUAAGUAUUGAGGCAGGGUCUCUCACUAAACUAAAGUUCACUAGUAAUUUACUCAGGAA